rnacentral:rRNA from 1 species
AUUGAACGCUGGCGGCAUGCUUUACACAUGCAAGUCGAACGGCAGCACGGGUGCUUGCACCUGGUGGCGAGUGGCGAACGGGUGAGUGAUAUAUCGGAACAUGUCCGGAAGUGGGGGAUAACGUAGCGAAAGUUACGCUAAUACCGCAUAUGCCCUGAGGGGGAAAGGGGGGGAUCGCAAGACCUCUCGCUUUCGGAGUGGCCGAUAUCGGAUUAGCUAGUAGGUGAGGUAAAGGCUCACCUAGGCGACGAUCCGUAGCUGGUCUGAGAGGACGACCAGCCACACUGGGACUGAGACACGGCCCAGACUCCUACGGGAGGCAGCAGUGGGGAAUUUUGGACAAUGGGCGCAAGCCUGAUCCAGCCAUGCCGCGUGAGUGAAGAAGGCCUUCGGGUUGUAAAGCUCUUUCAGCUGGAAAGAAAUCGUAUCUAUUAAUACUAGGUGCGGAUGGCGGUACCAGCAGAAGAAGCACCGGCUAACUACGUGCCAGCAGCCGCCGUAA